rnacentral:pre_miRNA from 1 species
AUUUUACUCCCUCCGUUUGGAAUUACUUGUCUCGGAAAUGGAUGUAUCUAGAACAUCUAGAUACAUCCAUUUCCGAGACAAGUAAUUCCAAACGGAGGGAGUAAUCG